GUGGCUCAGUGGUAGAGUGCUUGCCUUGCAUGCAUGAGGACCUGGGUUCAAUUCCUCAGC
rnacentral:tRNA from 1 species